rnacentral:tRNA from 1 species
GGGGAUUUAGCUCAGUGGCAUAAGUGCCUGCCUGACAAGCACAAGGUUGUGAGUUUGAGCCCCACUACCCCCC